GACGGAGGGUGCUAGCGUUGUUCGGAAUGACUGGGCGUAAAGGGCGCGUAGGCGGCUUUUCAAGUCGGGUGUGAAAGCCCGGGGCUCAACCCCGGAACGGCAUCCGAUACUGGGAGGCUUGAGACCGGGGAGAGGAGGGUGGAAUAUCCAGUGUAGAGGUGAAAUUCGUAGAUAUUGGAUGGAACACCAGUGGCGAAAGCGGCUCUCUGG
rnacentral:rRNA from 1 species